UCGCACGCUGUUGAGGAUCGCGACCACAU
rnacentral:sRNA from 1 species